rnacentral:rRNA from 1 species
UCUAGCAUAACUAAUAUUAGAGGCACUGCUGCCCAGUGAUAUAUUUAUUAAACGGCCGCGGUAUCCUGACCGUGCAAAGGUAGCAUAAUCACUUGUUCUCUAAAUAAGGACUAGUAUGAAUGGCCCCACGAGGUUUUACUGUCUCCUCCCUCCAAUCAGUGAAAUUGACAUCUCCGUGAAGAGGCGGAGAUAUCUCAAUAAGACGAGAAGACCCUAUGGAGCUUCAAUUUAACUACUCAACCAGUACAAAAAUAACCUAGUAGGAUUAACACUAAACUGAGCAUGAGUCGUAAAUUUCGGUUGGGGUGACCUCGGAGCAUAAAAAACCCUCCGAAUGAUAACACCCAAGACUUUACCAGUCUAGGCAAAAAUCAUUUAUUGACCCAAACCUCAUUUGAACAACGGAAUAAGUUACCCUAGGGAUAACAGCGCAAUCCUAUUACAGAGUCCAUAUCGACAAUAGGGUUUACGACCUCGAUGUUGGAUCAGGAUAUCCUAAUGGUGCAACCGCUAUUAAUGGUUCGUUUGUUC